CGGUAAUUUAGGAGUCUGGCCUGCCCAGUGAAAUAAUUUAACGGCCGCGGUAUACUGACCGUGCAAAGGUAGCAUAAUCAUUAGUCUUUUAAUAGAGGGCUGGUAUGAAGGGUUUAACGAGGUGUUGACUGUCUCAUUUAAUUUGAAUUUAGAAUUUAAUUUUUUAGUUAAAAAGCUAAAAUAUUAUUGGAAGACGAGAAGACCCUAUAGAGCUUUAUACUUUUACUAUUAAUUUAUUAUAGAUUAUUAUUAUUUAUUAUUAGUAGAAAGUAUUUUGUUGGGGUGACAAAAAUAUAUGAAUAACUUUUUUAUUUUAUUUACAUUGAUAUAUGAAUAUUAGAUCCAAUCUUAUUGAUUGUUAGAUUAAGUUACCUUAGGGAUAACAGCGUAAUCCCUCUCCAGAGUUCAUAUUUACAGAGGGGCUUGCGACCUCGAUGUUGGAUUAAGAUAAUAAUUAGGUGCAGCCGCUUAAUUAAUAGGUCUGUUCGACCUUUAAAUUCUUACAUGAUCUGAGUUCAAACCGG
rnacentral:rRNA from 1 species